rnacentral:rRNA from 1 species
UACGAAGGGGGCUAGCGUUGCUCGGAAUCACUGGGCGUAAAGCGCACGUAGGCGGCUUUUUAAGUCAGAGGUGAAAUCCUGGAGCUCAACUCCAGAACUGCCUUUGAUACUGGAGAGCUUGAGUCCGGGAAAGGUGAGUGGAACUGCGAGUGUAGAGGUGAAAUUCGUAGAUAUUCGCAAGAACACCAGUGGCGAAGGCGGCUCACUGGCCCGGUAUUGACGCUGAGGCACGAAAGCGUGGGGAUCAAACAGG